UAAGGAAUAUUGGUCAAUGGACGAAAGUCUGAACCAGCCAUGCCGCGUGCAGGAUGACUGCCCUAUGGGUUGUAAACUGCUUUUAUAUAGGAAGAAAAACUUUCUCGUGAGAAAGCUUGACGGUACUAUAAGAAUAAGGAUCGGCUAACUCCGUGCCAGCAGCCGCGGUAAUACGGAGGAUCCAAGCGUUAUCCGGAAUCAUUGGGUUUAAAGGGUCCGUAGGUGGACAAAUAAGUCAGAGGUGAAAUCCUGCAGCUCAACUGUAGAACUGCCUUUGAUACUGUUUGUCUUGAGUUAUUAUGAAGUGGUUAGAAUGUGUAGUGUAGCGGUGAAAUGCAUAGAUAUUACAC
rnacentral:rRNA from 1 species